rnacentral:rRNA from 1 species
UCUUGGUCAUUUAGAGGAAGUAAAAGUCGUGACAAGGUUUCCGUAGGUGAACCUGCGGAAGGAUCAUUAAAGAAAUUUAAUAAUUUUGAAAAUGGAUUUUUUUGUUUUGGCAAGAGCAUGAGAGCUUUUACUGGGCAAGAAGACAAGAGAUGGAGAGUCCAGCCGGGCCUGCGCUUAAGUGCGCGGUCGUGCUAGGCUUGUAAGUUCCUUUCUUGCUAUUCCAAACGGUGAGAGAUUUCUGUGCUUUUGUUAUAGGACAAUUAAAACCGUUUCAAUACAACACACUGUGGAGUUUUCAUAUCUUUGCAACUUUUUCUUUGGGCAUUCGAGCAAUCGGGGCCCAGAGGUAACAAACACAAACAAUUUUAUCUAUUCAUUAAAUUUUUGUCAAAAACAAGAAUUUUCGUAACUGGAAAUUUUAAAAUAUUAAAAACUUUCAACAACGGAUCUCUUGGUUCUCGCAUCGAUGAAGAACGCAGCGAAAUGCGAUACGUAAUGUGAAUUGCAGAAUUCCGUGAAUCAUCGAAUCUUUGAACGCACAUUGCGCCCCUUGGUAUUCCAGGGGGCAUGCCUGUUUGAGCGUCAUUUCCUUCUCAAACAUUCUGUUUGGUAGUGAGUGAUACUCUUUGGAGUUAACUUGAAAUUGCUGGCCUUUUCAUUGGAUGUUUUUUUUCCAAAGAGAGGUUUCUCUGCGUGCUUGAGGUAUAAUGCAAGUACGGUCGUUUUAGGUUUUACCAACUGCGGCUAAUCUUUUUUUAUACUGAGCGUAUUGGAACGUUAUCGAUAAGAAGAGAGCGUCUAGGCGAACAAUGUUCUUAAAGUUUGACCUCAAAUCAGGUAGGACUACNCGCUGAACUUAAGCAUAUCAAUAAGCGGAGGAA